rnacentral:rRNA from 1 species
UACGGGGGGAGCAAGCGUUGUUCGGAUUUACUGGGCGUAAAGGGCGCGUAGGCGGUCAGCACAAGUCAGUUGUGAAAUCUCCGGGCUUAACUCGGAAAGGUCAACUGAUACUGUGCGACUAGAGUGCGGAAGGGGCAACUGGAAUUCUCGGUGUAGCGGUGAAAUGCGUAGAUAUCGAGAGGAAUACCGGUGGCGAAGGCGGCAUCCUGGACCGACAUUGACGCUGAGGAGCGAAAGCUAGGGGAGCAAACGGG